UACGUAGGCAGCGAGCGUUGUUCGGAGUUACUGGGCGUAAAGCGUGCGCAGGCGGUGAUGUAAGACAGUUGUGAAAUCCCCGGGCUCAACCUGGGAACUGCAUCUGUGACUGCAUUGCUGGAGUGCGGCAGAGGGGGAUGGAAUUCCGCGUGUAGCAGUGAAAUGCGUAGAUAUGCGGAGGAACACCGAUGGCGAAGGCAAUCCCCUGGGCCUGCACUGACGCUCAUGCACGAAAGCGUGGGGAGCAAACAGG
rnacentral:rRNA from 1 species